rnacentral:rRNA from 1 species
AACGAACGCUGGCGGCAUGCCUAACACAUGCAAGUCGAACGAUCCCUUCGGGGGUAGUGGCGCACGGGUGCGUAACGCGUGGGAACCUGCCCUUAGGUUCGGAAUAACUCAGAGACAUUUGAGCUAAUACCGGAUAAUGUCUUCGGACCAAAGAUUUAUCGCCUUUGGAUGGGCCCGCGUUGGAUUAGCUAGUUGGUGGGGUAAAGGCCUACCACGGCGACGAUCCAUAGCUGGUCUGAGAGGAUGAUCAGCCACACUGGGACUGAGACACGGCCCAGACUCCUACGGGAGGCAGCAGUGGGGAAUAUUGGACAAUGGGCGAAAGCCUGAUCCAGCAAGGCCGCGUGAGUGAUGAAGGCCUUAGGGUUGUAAAGCUCUUUUAACCGGGAUGAUAAUGACAGUACCGGGAGAAUAAGCCCCGGCUAACUCCGUG